AUGAACCUCUCCGGAGAAGCCUGUGAGCUUUCACAUCUGCUGGAAAACUCUGGGGAGAAUCUUUCUAAUGAGGAAUUCCUGGAACAAGAAAUUACAGAUGAUCUCUUUUUCAGAAGACAUGGCAAGCAAGUGAAUGCCUUUUUCUCCCAUCAGAGAAGAAGUCAACCUCUCUGUUCAUUACUACAGGAGACCAGUAUUCAAGGAGCAUCUGAGAAGGAGUCGAAGAUCUGGGAAGCCCUGUGCAUUCAUCUCCCCAAGUUCAGCAGAAAUAAUUGUCAGAGGAGGACCCCAAGGGGAACAAAGGAACCAUGGAAGGAGCUGAUGAGGUCGGAGUGAGACCCAAGUGAAGGAGCCGCUGGGAACCGUAAAGCCAUGGGGAAGGGAACAUGUGUGUGUGAGCUCAGAGCCUGGCAGAGAGCACAGAAGGGAAGAGCGGUCCCUAAAGUAGCCCCCAGGGAACAGGCAGAAGGUAGAGGGCGUCCUGUCUGAAUGCGAGGUGGCGCUCUCAGUGGGGAAGUUCAAAAUCAGCAUCAGUGUCGGCUGUUGCACCAGCACCAAGGCGCUGGACUGAAGACGUGUGGCUCAUAGGAGACCCCACUCAUGGAGGAGCUGCCCUUGGGAGGCCUUUGAACUCCAGGAUGACUCAGUUCUUGACUUACAUGACUUGGAAGGAGACGGAAAAGGGCCGGAGAGGGUCAUUCUCUCAAAGGAAUAUGUGCGGGGGGUGUGAAAACCCUCAGCCAAAGUUUCUAGGGAAGCAAAACUGAAGCGGGCAGACAGCCCGUCAUGAAGCCACGCGAUGAGCUCUAAGCCGUGGAUGGAUGGGAUGAUGGAAGAAAGGCGACGCCACCAACGUGGGGAAAGGAAACAGGGAAGGGAGGUGUUUCACCCCCUGGUGGACAAAUCGGGCAGCACAUCCUGGGCAAACGCAUUAAUGUCCCUGUAAUUUAUUGUCUGACCGCUUUUCUUCUGCCUCUCAUUUGCAGACGUUCAGAGAACACUUGCUUCUUCUAAAAAUUCUUCCUGUCGAACAACCUUUUUGCAUUACUUUCUAAUUGCACUCAGCUCAGGGAAAACAGCUAAUCUAAGCAAAUAAGUAAAGCUCCAUGACGAAUUAUUUGAUCCCAAAUAAGGAAAUUGAGCUUAAAACAUACUGAAUGUACCAGUGGAAAAGAUGGACAUGAUUCAGGAAUUUUACAAAUUAUUUUCCAGAAAUAUUCACAGGAUGAAAAAAGUCCUCAUGUUCAUUUCGUCUCUACCUCCCCCAAUACUGUGCUCACCCCACACUCGUUUAUUCGUGGAGAACAUUUGUCGAAGGCAUCUUAUGUGCGGGGCACCAAGCUAAACCCUCGUCGCGUGGGUAUCAACGCUGGAUCCCAGUUCAGCUUCGUAUGUUUCCCGCAGGUCACUCCCAUCGUGUGGCAGAUUGCAGGAAGGUUCAUUUGCCCUUCGCCAAACCUACAGCUCAGUUCUCCCCUUGGCUACGUUAUUGAAAUAGCCCCACCAUUCAGUGCAGACUGCACUGUGAGAUGAUGAAUCUGAUUCCACAAUGGAGUAAAUUUAACAACAAGCUUCAAUAAUAUUGCAGAAGGAGAAAAAAAAUGAGGUAGGUAAAAGAACGUUGUAUGUCAGAUACGCAGCCUUUCCAAGAUAGCUUCGUUCUGAUACUUUUGUCUGCAAGACAAAAAAGAUGGAUGUGGUUUUCCUCUGGAAAGUGAUAGCCCACAAGAAAUAAAUUUUCAUGGAUCAUAUUCA
rnacentral:lncRNA from 1 species